CUCCGUGGGGUUACUUUGAAGGUGCCGCUGUACGUGUGUGGAUACACUUGGGUGUGAUCUCUGCCGUGUGCAGUUCGGGAUAAGCUUGGGAAACUUGGUGUUUAAUACCGGGAUAGGACUAGUUGGUUAGGUUGUCGAUUGUCUGGUGAAGUUUUUUUCCGGUUCAAAGAGUGAGCUCGCUGGCCGUAUCAGCUUUUGUGGGUAAUGGUCUACCAAGGCGUCUGACGUGGUAGCCGGCCUGAGAGGUUGUACGGCCACAUUGGGACUGAGAUACUGGCCCAGACUCCUACGGGAGUCAGCAUGGGGAAUAUUGCACAAUGGGCGGAAGCCUGAUGCAGCGACGCCGCUGGGGGAUGAAGGCCUUCGGGUUGUAAACUCCUUUCGACAGGGACGAAGCGUAAGUGACGGUACCUGUAUAAGAAGCACCGGCUAACUACGUGCCAGCAGCCGCGGUAAUACGUAGAGUGCGAGCGUUGUCCGGAAUUACUGGGCGUAAAGAGCUCGUAGGUGGUUUGUCGCGUCGUCUGUGAAAUUCCGGGGCUUAACUCCGGGCGUGCAGGCGAUACGGGCUGACUUGAGUGCUGUAGGGGAGACUGGAAUUCCUGGUGUAGCUGGUGAAAUGCGCAGAUAUCAGGAGGAACACCGAUGGCGAAGGCAGGUCUCUGGGCAGUAACUGACGCUGAGGAGCGAAAGCAUGGGUAGCGAACAGGAUUAGAUACCCUGGUAGUCCAUGCCGUAAACGUGGGCGCUAGUGUAGGGGGCUUCCACGUCUUCUGUGCCGUAGCUAACGCAUUAAGCGCCCCGCCUGGAGAGUACGGCC
rnacentral:rRNA from 1 species